rnacentral:rRNA from 1 species
UACGGAGGAUGCGAGCGUUAUCCGGAUUUAUUGGGUUUAAAGGGUGCGUAGGCGGACUGUCAAGUCAGCGGUAAAAUUGAGAGGCUCAACCUCUUCCCGCCGUUGAAACUGGUGGUCUUGAGUGGAUGAGAAGUACGCGGAAUGCGUGGUGUAGCGGUGAAAUGCAUGGAUAUCACGCAGAACUCCGAUUGCGAAGGCAGCGUACCGGCAUCCAACUGACGCUGAGGCACGAAAGCGUGGGGAGCGAACAGG